rnacentral:rRNA from 1 species
CCCUUAGAGUUUGAUCCUGGCUCAGGACGAACGCUGGCGGCGCGCCUAACACAUGCAAGUCGAACGAGAGAGAGGGAGCUUGCUUCCUUGAUUGAGUGGCGAACGGGUGAGUAACGCGUGAGGAACCUGCCUCAAAGAGGGGGACAACAGUUGGAAACGACUGCUAAUACCGCAUAAGCCCACGGGUCGGCAUCGACCAGAGGGAAAAGGAGCAAUCCGCUUUGAGAUGGCCUCGCGUCCGAUUAGCUAGUUGGUGAGGUAACGGCCCACCAAGGCAACGAUCGGUAGCCGGACUGAGAGGUUGAACGGCCACAUUGGGACUGAGACACGGCCCAGACUCCUACGGGAGGCAGCAGUGGGGAAUAUUGCACAAUGGGGGAAACCCUGAUGCAGCGACGCCGCGUGGAGGAAGAAGGUCUUCGGAUUGUAAACUCCUGUUGUUGAGGAAGAUAAUGACGGUACUCAACAAGGAAGUGACGGCUAACUACGUGCCAGCAGCCGCGGUAAAACGUAGGUCACAAGCGUUGUCCGGAAUUACUGGGUGUAAAGGGAGCGCAGGCGGGAAGACAAGUUGGAAGUGAAAUCCAUGGGCUCAACCCAUGAACUGCUUUCAAAACUGUUUUUCUUGAGUAGUGCAGAGGUAGGCGGAAUUCCCGGUGUAGCGGUGGAAUGCGUAGAUAUCGGGAGGAACACCAGUGGCGAAGGCGGCCUACUGGGCACCAACUGACGCUGAGGCUCGAAAGUGUGGGUAGCAAACAGGAUUAGAUACCCUGGUAGUCCACACCGUAAACGAUGAUUACUAGGUGUUGGAGGAUUGACCCCUUCAGUGCCGCAGUUAACACAAUAAGUAAUCCACCUGGGGAGUACGACCGCAAGG